UUUACGGAGAGUUUGAUUCUGGCUCAGGACGAACGCUGGCGGCGUGCUUAACACAUGCAAGUCGAACGGUGAUAUCGGGGCUUGCUCUGGUUGAUCAGUGGCGAACGGGUGAGUAACACGUGAGUAACCUGCCCCAGACUCUGGGAUAACUUCGGGAAAUCGGAGCUAAUACCGGAUAUGAGACGCCUCCGCAUGGUGAGCGUCUGGAAAGAUUUAUCGGUCUGGGAUGGACUCGCGGCCUAUCAGCUUGUUGGUGAGGUAAUGGCUCACCAAGGCGACGACGGGUAGCCGGCCUGAGAGGGCGACCGGCCACACUGGGACUGAGAUACGGCCCAGACCCCUACGGGAGGCAGCAGUGGGGAAUAUUGCACAAUGGGCGAAAGCCUGAUGCAGCGACGCCGCGUGAGGGAUGAAGGCCUACGGGUUGUAAACCUCUUUCAGCAGGGAAGAAGUGGUCGGGUUCUCUCGGUCGUGACGGUACCUGCAGAAGAAGCGCCGG
rnacentral:rRNA from 1 species